rnacentral:sRNA from 1 species
AAUGGAGCAAAAUGGCGGAUCAUGUGCAGAGCCUGGCCCAACUAGAGAAUCUGUGCAAACAGCUGUAUGAAACCACAGACACAACCACUCGACUCCAGGCAGAGAAAGCCUUGGUUGAAUUUACCAACAGCCCUGAUUGCCUGAGCAAGUGCCAGCUACUCCUCGAAAGAGGAAGUUCCUCUUACUCCCAGUUACUGGCAGCUACAUGCCUUACCAAGCUUGUAUCACGCACAAACAACCCCCUACCAUUGGAACAGCGAAUAGAUAUUCGUAAGUGGAGAAUUUUCUGUUCUGUCUUGAAGAAAAUAGUUUGUUUAGUGAUGUGCUAGUAAUAGUCAAAUGUAUGUGUUUGUUCAAUGAUAUGCUGAGAUUGCUAACCAUACAAAAUGUCUAGAAUCCAGUUCGUUUCCAGAAUUUGGGGCUUAUGAAAGUGAAGGGCCCGACGCAAUAACUUCUGGAUAAAGCCUAAGUCCUCCCUUUUGUUAUCGGGAGAUUUCUUCAUUCAUCUUUUCUUUACUGCCACUAGUAACUAACAAAAACAUUGUUAAUGAUUUUGAAUUCUGUGUAGACCACGUUCUUUAGCUACCUAG